AGAUACUCCACACACCUAAGGAAAGCCUUGGCCGGAGCAAGAUUUGCUAGAAGAAUAACUGCAGGAGACAGAAGCACUGUGGUGACUGGAUCUCAUGAAAUAGAAGAUGGCUGAUGGAUAUCAAGAGUAGCUGAUGGCCUUUCUGUUGGACUGAUAUGGAAGUUGAACUGAGCAGGAGGUUGGACCAGAAGCGCUCCUGAAAUUCCUUUCCCACCUGAAAUGUCCUG